GCGAUCCCUCGCAGCCUCACAAAUAAAACCACUACCAUGAUUCUGUGUUCCCUUCAAUCAUACCCCAGGCACACAUCUCUCUUCCCUGACCAGCUCCCACAGGGACCUGGCAGGCUGCCCCUUCUCCCUCCUGAAGCCUGGCUGCUUGGCACGGUGGCAGGGGAACCUCCCGCAGACGAGGCAGGCACAGCCCCCUCCCCGCCCAGACACACGCAAGCUGGGGAGUCGCUCCGUGCCCCCGCUCAGAGGUGACCCCGGUGCCAGGGCUCCCCUCAGCCCCUUUCCGUAUCCCGAGGGCGGUAAUGCGGCUCCUGCACCCCAGCAGCGCAUCGGCCCGUGCCGGCGGACCCGGGAACCUCAACUGCGGGCAGGCUGCUGACGCUCCCGCCGCCUCCGCCCACGCCAGCCCUGCCUGCAGCCGGGGAGUCGCCGCGGCUUGUGCCCGACGCGAUCAGACCCAGCUCCUGCAGCCCUCCUGAGGAUUGAAGUGAUGUGGAGAGCCCUGCCUGCCCUGGUGGUACGGGGGCUGUAGUCAGGAGGCAAGGUGGAGCAAAGGAGGAGAAUAUUGCCUCAUCUGCUCACAACAAGCCCAGGCCACCUGGCAUGGGAGCGGUAUGGGCAUAGCAGGGAGCAUGUGAAUCACCUUGGACGUGCAGGUACUCAGUUUACUGGAAACAAUCAGUAAUUUUCAACAGCCUACCUAAGCAGUGAGAAAAAAUGCACCAAGGAUAAUAAGUAAGCAAAUACAUUUUAAGUGAUAAAUGGGAAGAGAAAUUUCAUUUGACAAGUUAAGCAGAUGGAGCUACGGCCAAUUUCUGCAAUCUACUGGUACAUGAGUGUUAUGCUUAAUUUUCAAGUGGUGUUUAGUUGUAGAUUAGGAAUUGGAAACAAUUCAGUUGUUCACAGCAAACCACUUUCUCUUGCUGCUUCCUAAUUUGGAAUAUUGUUCUGUGUUUCCAAGAUGAUAUUUAUCCCCUAAUUCUUCAGGUUUGUAUUAUGUUCACGCAAGUAAUUUCAGAAGACACAUUCACUAGCUAACACCCAUCUCCUCUUGCACUUGCACACCACACAACAUUUAUAAUUAAGCCUCUUAGGAAGUUAGCUGCAUGGCCCUUGAUUAACUUCCCUUAAUUCUUCAUUGUUAAAGCUCAGUGCAAAGAUCUCUGGAGUAAUCAGGCCACCUUUCCAACUGGAAAUGUAGCAUAUAAAUCAGUAUACACUAGGAUACCAUCCCAGCAUGGAAAGUGAGUAUUGGUGCCUUUAUCACAGUCUAACAGGCCGUACAGGCUUAUCCAAAGCCAGUGUUUCCCAGCAGAUGAGGCAGAUAAAGGGGGUGAUCAGAGGCUGUUGACACAGGGCACAGCAUCUGUAAUUAAGUCACUAGGGAAGCUGGCACAGAAUGCUGUGACAAAGAUAGGAUCCAAUUUACACACAGCUUUCAGCAAAUCUUAAAAUGCUGUCUGAGUAAAACCCAGCCCCUCCUGACUUACUGCGUGCUAGAAAUUUGUCAAAUAGUGGUGAGAAGAGGGGGGUAGAGGGUGCACUGUUUGUCAAACAUGUAAAUUGGAUAUAUUUUAGUGAUUUUAUGUUCCUGACUCUCUUUCCAUGUCGCCCAAGUUCUGUGAAGAAGAGGUGUGUGUUUGUGUUGGAAGUGCUGUAAUGUUUGGCACACUGAGACUUCUACCUGCUCACCAUGACUGGUAUUCCCUGUUCUGCAAGACUGGGAGAAAAAGAGCAUAUGCAAUGAAACGGAUCCUUGGAUUUUGGAUCUUGAGGUGACCUUGACUCCACAACUCUCCUGAACAAUUAAACUACAGAACAGUUGAUUGCUUCUUUGUUUGUGUGGCAGUAGAUUAUGGAAUAAGAUAAAAGGAGCCUUCAGAACCUACCCUGAUUGUUUUUUUUUUUUCUUUUUGUGGAGAACACCACCACAAAAA